rnacentral:rRNA from 1 species
GCUUGCGGCGUGCCUAUACAUGCAGUCGAGCGCGGGAAGCAGCUAGAUCCCUUCGGGGUGACAGUUGUGGAACGAGCGGCGGACGGGUGAGUAACACGUGGGCAACCUGCCUGUAAGAUGGGGAUAACUCGCGGAAACGUGAGCUAAUACCGAAUAAUGCUUUUCAUCUCCUGAUGAGUUGAUGAAAGACGGCUUCGGCUGUCACUUACAGAUGGGCCCGCGGCGCAUUAGCUAGUUGGUGGGGUAAUGGCUCACCAAGGCGACGAUGCGUAGCCGACCUGAGAGGGUGAUCGGCCACACUGGGACUGAGACACGGCCCAGACUCCUACGGGAGGCAGCAGUAGGGAAUCUUCCGCAAUGGACGAAAGUCUGACGGAGCAACGCCGCGUGAGUGAUGAAGGUUUUCGGAUCGUAAAACUCUGUUGUUAGGGAAGAACAAGUGUGAGAGUAACUGCUCACACCUUGACGGUACCUAACCAGAAAGCCACGGCUAACUACGUGCCAGCAGCCGCGGUAAUACGUAGGUGGCAAGCGUUGUCCGGAAUUAUUGGGCGUAAAGCGCUCGCAGGCGGUCUUUUAAGUCUGAUGUGAAAGCCCACGGCUUAACCGUGGAGGGUCAUUGGAAACUGGAGGACUUGAGUACAGAAGAGGAGAGUGGAAUUCCACGUGUAGCGGUGAAAUGCGUAGAGAUGUGGAGGAACACCAGUGGCGAAGGCGACUCUCUGGUCUGUAACUGACGCUGAGGAGCGAAAGCGUGGGGAGCGAACAGGAUUAGAUACCCUGGUAGUCCACGCCGUAAACGAUGAGUGCUAGGUGUUAGGGGGUUUCCGCCCCUUAGUGCUGCAGUUAACGCAUUAAGCACUCCGCCUGGGGAGUACGGCCGCAAGGCUGAAACUCAAAAGAAUUGACGGGGACCCGCACAAGCGGUGGAGCAUGUGGUUUAAUUCGACGCAACGCGAAGAACCUUACCAGGUCUUGACAUCCUCUGACAACCCUAGAGAUAGGGCUUUCCCUUCGGGGACAGAGUGACAGGUGGUGCAUGGUUGUCGUCAGCUCGUGUCGUGAGAUGUUGGGUUAAGUCCCGCAACGAGCGCAACCCUUGAUCUUAGUUGCCAGCAUUUAGUUGGGCACUCUAAGGUGACUGCCGGUGACAAACCGGAGGAAGGUGGGGAUGACGUCAAAUCAUCAUGCCCCUUAUGACCUGGGCUACACACGUGCUACAAUGGAUGGAACAAAGGGAAGCUAAACCGCGAGGUCAAGCAAAUCCCAUAAAACCAUUCUCAGUUCGGAUUGUAGGCUGCAACUCGCCUACAUGAAGCCGGAAUCGCUAGUAAUCGCGGAUCAGCAUGCCGCGGUGAAUACGUUCCCGGGUCUUGUACACACCGCCCGUCACACCACGAGAGUUGGUAACACCCGAAGUCGGUGAGGUAACCUUUUAGGAGCCAGCCGC